CUUGAGUACUGUAGGGAGACUGGAAUUCCUGGUGUAGCGGUGAAAUGCGCCAGAUAUCAGGAGGAACCCCCGUGGCGAAGGCGGGUCUCUGGGCAGUAACUGACGCUGAGGAGCGAAAGCAUGGGUAGCGAACAGGAUUAGAUACCCUGGUAGUCCAUGCCGUAAACGGUGGGCGCUAGGUGUAGGGGUCUUCCACGACUUCUGUGCCGUAGCUAACGCAUUAAGCGCCCCGCCUGGGGAGUACGGCCGCAAGGCUAAAACUCAAAGGAAUUGACGGGGGCCCGCACAAGCGGCGGAGCAUGUGGAUUAAUUCGAUGCAACGCGAAGAACCUUACCUGGGCUUGACAUAUACGGGACCGGGCCAGAGAUGGUCCUUCCCUUGUGGCUCGUAUACAGGUGGUGCAUGGUUGUCGUCAGCUCGUGUCGUGAGAUGUUGGGUUAAGUCCCGCAACGAGCGCAACCCUUGUCUUAUGUUGCCAGCACGUAAUGGUGGGGACUCGUGAGAAACUGCCGGGGUCAACUCGGAGGAAGGUGGGGAUGACGUCAAAUCAUCAUGCCCCUUAUGUCCAGGGCUUCACACAUGCUACAAUGGUCGGUACAGUGGGUUGCGAUGCCGUGAGGUGGAGCUAAUCCCUGAAAGCCGGUCUCAGUUCGGAUCGGGGUCUGCAACUCGACCCCGUGAAGUCGGAGUCGCUAGUAAUCGC
rnacentral:rRNA from 1 species